AUGGCCCAUGGGCCUGGCGCUGACGGACCCCGGAGCGGUGUCUGAGGGAGGUGGGCAAAGCCACUGGCUGGCCCGAGUGCAUCCUCACGUAAGUUUCAAGAUGGAUUGGAACCAAAGUUCACUUCUUUAACAAAAGUGCUUUAUGACUUUAAUAAAACAGUAGAGAAUGGUAGAAUCCAUGGCAGCUCUUUACAAAAACUUGUGAUAGAAAGUUUUGAUGAUGAGCAGACUUUGCAACAACUGGAAUUGCAAAAUGAAGCAAUUUUACAGUGCUUCCAGAAUGCGGUUAGUGAAAGAAAGAUGAAGAUAUCAGUCUUCUCCCAGAGAGUGAAGAACAGGAGCAUGAAGAGGCUGGUUCAGAAACAGAGGCUGAUGGCCAGGAGGACCUAGAAGAUUUAGAGGAGGAGGAGGACGUGUCAGAUAUGGGUGGUGACAAUCCUGAAAUGGGUGAGAGAGCUAAAAACUCAAGCAAAUUGAUGAAUGACAAAAAUUACAUCUUUAGAAAAAGAGUUGUUAGAAAAAAGCCUUGGCUGCAUGUGGGGGAAGUGACAGCACAGAAGAGACCAGAGAAGAGCCUCCUGGAGGAGAGCCUGCACUUUGACCAUGCUGUCCGGAUGGGU
rnacentral:lncRNA from 1 species